rnacentral:rRNA from 1 species
AUGUACUCGUCACAAUCGGUGAGUCGCAUCAACAAUAUUCGCACCUCUCUCAUCAAUGCGCAGAAGGGCAACCUCUCCGCCGCCUCCUACUUCGCCACCAUGCGUGGCUACGCCGAUGAGCUGGCCGUGGCGGGCAAGGCGAUCCUCGACGAUGAGCUCAUCUCCUACAUCAUCCACGGGCUCGAUGCUGACUACCAGCCUCUGAUCUCUGCUCUGGACGCUCGCGUAACCCCUGUCACCCUCGACGAGUUGUUUGCUAUGCUCUCCAACUUUGAUCCGAGGAUGGUGCACUUCCACGGGUCC